rnacentral:rRNA from 1 species
CCUGGUUGAUCCUGCCAGUAGUCAUAUGCUUGUCUCAAAGAUUAAGCCAUGCAUGUCUAAGUAUAAACAACUUUAUACUGUGAAACUGCGAAUGGCUCAUUAAAUCAGUUAUAGUUUAUUUGAUAGUACCUUACUACUUGGAUAACCGUAGUAAUUCUAGAGCUAAUACAUGCGAAAAGACCCGACUUUUUGGAAGGGUUGCAUUUACUAGAUACAAAACCAAUGGCCAGCAAUGGUCACACUUGGUGAUUCAUAAUAACUUUUGCGGAUCGCAUAGCUUUACGCUGGCGACGAAUCAUUCAAAUUUCUGCCCUAUCAACUUUCGAUGGUACGGUAUUGGCCUACCAUGGUUACAACGGGUAACGGGGAAUUAGGGUUCGGUUCCGGAGAGGGGGCCUGAGAAAUGGCCACCACAUCCAAGGAAGGCAGCAGGCGCGCGAAUUACCCAAUCCUGAUACAGGGAGGUAGUGACAAUAAAUAACAAUGCAGGACCUUUACGGGUUUUGUAAUUGGAAUGAGUACAAUUUAAAUCUCUUAACGAGUACCAAUUGGAGGGCAAGUCUGGUGCCAGCAGCCGCGGUAAUUCCAGCUCCAAUAGCGUAUAUUAAAGUUGUUGCAGUUAAAAAGCUCGUAGUUGAAUCUCGGAGUCCUUUUUUCUUCGGAAACGCCGAUGGUCGGAAACCCAGAGCCUCGAAAGGGGUGGAUGGGGCUGUUUACUUGAGGCAGGGCUCACAUCUGAGUUUCUCGAAGGUGGCCUCUGCUCUUCACUGGGUUGGGGGACUUUUUCACAUUCGAGACAUUUACUUUGAAAAAAUUAGAGUGUUCAAAGCAGGCAGUUUCGCUUGAAUACAUUAGCAUGGAAUAAUGGAAUAGGACUUUGGUCUUAUUUUGUUGGUUUCUAGGACUGAAGUAAUGAUUAAUAGGGACAGUUGGGGGCAUUAGUAUUUAAUUGUCAGAGGUGAAAUUCUUGGAUUUAUGAAAGACUAACUUCUGCGAAAGCAUUUGCCAAGGAUGUUUUCAUUAAUCAAGAACGAAAGUUAGGGGAUCGAAGACGAUUAGAUACCGUCGUAGUCCUAACCAUAAACUAUGCCGACUCGGGAUCGGUGAGCGUGUUUUUUUACUACCUCAUCAGCACCGUAGGAGAAAUCAAAGUUUUUGGGUUCUGGGGGGUGUAUGGUCGCAAGGCUGAAACUUAAAGGAAUUGACGGAAGGGCACACCAGGUUUGGAGCCUGCGGCUUAAUUUGACCCAACACGGGGAAACUCACCAGGUCCAGACAUCGUAAGGAUUGACAGAUUGAGAGCUCUUUCUUGAUUCGAUGGAAAGUGGUGCAUGGCCGUUCUUAGUUGGUGGAUUGCUCUGUCUGGUUUACUCCGUUAACGAACGAGACCUUAACCUGCUAAAUAG